rnacentral:rRNA from 1 species
GGUAAUGCCGGAUGCUCCAGUUGAUCGCAUGGUCUUCUGGGAAAGCUUUCGCGGUAUGGGAUGGGGUCGCGUCCUAUCAGCUUGACGGCGGGGUAACGGCCCACCGUGGCUUCGACGGGUAGCCGGCCUGAGAGGGCGACCGGCCACAUUGGGACUGAGAUACGGCCCAGACUCCUACGGGAGGCAGCAGUGGGGAAUAUUGCACAAUGGGCGCAAGCCUGAUGCAGCGACGCCGCGUGAGGGAUGGAGGCCUUCGGGUUGUAAACCUCUUUUAUCGGGGAGCAAGCGAGAGUGAGUUUACCCGUUGAAUAAGCACCGGCUAACUACGUGCCAGCAGCCGCGGUAAUACGUAGGGUGCAAGCGUUAUCCGGAAUUAUUGGGCGUAAAGGGCUCGUAGGCGGUUCGUCGCGUCCGGUGUGAAAGUCCAUCGCUUAACGGUGGAUCCGCGCCGGGUACGGGCGGGCUUGAGUGCGGUAGGGGAGACUGGAAUUCCCGGUGUAACGGUGGAAUGUGUAGAUUCGAAAAAAAAA